GAACUCCGUUCGAUGAAAAAAAGAAGCUAUAUGGUCCUAUAUCCUGCAUGCUUUGCUAGUUGUGCAAUGGAUUUUGUACCAUUAACUUCUGAAGUGCUCCUGAGCAAACAAGUAUAUAUAUAGAGAAGUUCAUGAAUUUUCAGUUUGAUAUGCAGAAAAGUUCAUGUAUGAAUACAUUAACAAUUAUCUGUCGGUUUGGUUGUGAUUCGCAGAGAUUAGGACUCGAUUUGAACACAGCACCUCAUGCAAUCAGUUUGACAAUAAGUGAAACACAAUGUGUGCUUGAACAACAAGACUUACCUGAAAGCACUUGCACUCCUUUGCAGUUUUAUAAUAAGCAAUUGUAACUGAUGCAUUCCUUAAAAGCCCUUCAAUUAUUUACUCUUCAUCUUUCUAAUAU
rnacentral:lncRNA from 1 species